rnacentral:rRNA from 1 species
UACUUAGGGUGCAAGCGUUAUCCGGAAUUAUUGGGCGUAAAGAGCUCGUAGGCGGUUUGUCGCGUCUGCUGUGAAAACUGGAGGCUCAACCUCCAGCCUGCAGUGGGUACGGGCAAACUAGAGUGCGGUAGGGGAGAUUGGAAUUCCUGGUGUAGCGGUGGAAUGCGCAGAUAUCAGGAGGAACACCGAUGGCGAAGGCAGAUCUCUGGGCCGUAACUGACGCUGAGGAGCGAAAGCAUGGGGAGCGAACAGG